GACGAACGCUGGCGGCGUGCUUAACACAUGCAAGUCGAACGGAAAGGCCCUGCUUUUGUGGGGUGCUCGAGUGGCGAACGGGUGAGUAACACGUGAGUAACCUGCCCUUGACUUUGGGAUAACUUCAGGAAACUGGGGCUAAUACCGGAUAGGAGCUCCUGCUGCAUGGUGGGGGUUGGAAAGUUUCUGCGGUUGGGGAUGGACUCGCGGCUUAUCAGCUUGUUGGUGGGGUAGUGGCUUACCAAGGCUUUGACGGGUAGCCGGCCUGAGAGGGUGACCGGCCACAUUGGGACUGCGAGACGGCCCAGACUCCUACGGGAGGCAGCAGGGGGGAAUAUUGCACAAUGGGCGGAAGCCGGAUGCAGCAACGCCGCGUGCGUGAUGACGGCCUGUGGGUUGUAAACCGCUUUCGCCUGUUACGAAGCGUGAGUGACGGUAAUGGGUAAAGAAGCACCGGCUAACUACGUG
rnacentral:rRNA from 1 species